GGAAGUAAAAGUCGUAACAAGAUCUCCGUAGGUGAACCUGCGGAGGGAUCAUUACAGAGUUCGUGCCCUCACGGGUAGAUCUCCCACCCUGUGUUAUUAUACCUUUGUUGCUUUGGCGGGCCGCCCUCGGCUACCGGCCCCGGCUGGAACGCGCCCGCCAGAGGACCCCAAACUCUGAAUGUUAGUGUCGUCUGAGUACUAUACAAUAGUUAAAACUUUCAACAACGGAUCUCUUGGUUCUG
rnacentral:misc_RNA from 1 species